AAGUCGUAACAAGGUUUCCGUAGGUGAACCUGCGGAAGGAUCAUUAUAGAAGGAGGCGUUUGUGUAAUAACAAUCGUCGACUAAACAACCAUCCUGUGAACAUACCUGUUAUUGGGAGGUGCAUUAAUGUAUCUCCCAAUCUAAAUAAUCAUUACAAUCAUUACAAUCAUUAUAAUAUUAAAUACAAAAAUUAAAACUUUCAGCAACGGAUCUCUUGGCUCUCGCAUCGAUGAAGAACGCAGCGAAAUGCGAAACGUAGUGUGAAUUGCAGAUUCCGUGAAUCAUCGAGUUUUUGAACGCACAUUGCGCUUGUUGGACAUCCGACAAGCAUGUCUGUAUGAGGGUGGCAUCCACUCGGCUUAUGUCGGUGUUGAUUCAUGGUGAUCCUGAUAAAGGAUCACCUGAAUUGAAAUGGAAUUAGCGUGGAUAUAUAGAUAUGACACAGUGUGAUAGAAAUGUCGCUGUAAACCCAUAACUAUACAUACAUCCAUGCAAACCAUACUUUAUAUUUCCACCUCAUAUCAGAUAGGAUUACCCGCUGAACUUAAGCAUAUCAAUAAGCGGAGGAAAAGAAACCAACAGGGAUUCCCCUAGUAACUGCGAGUGAAGCGGGAAAAGCUCAAAUUUGAAAUCUGACGGGGUUAACUACCGUCCGAAUUGUAAUUUGGAGAGACAUUUUCGAUUGUGCGAUCAAGAUUAAAGUCCCUUGGAACAGGGCGUCAUAGAGGGUGAGAGUCCCGUGAGUAAUCUUGAAUGAAAGCAUGGUCAGACGAUAUGUCUUCAACGAGUCGAGUUGUUUGGGAAUGCAGCUCAAAAUGGGAGGUAAAUUUCUUCUAAAGCUAAAUAUUGGCGAGAGACCGAUAGCGAACAAGUAGAGUGAUCGAAAGAUGAAAAGAACUUUGAAAAGAGAGUUAAACAGUACGUGAAAUUGCUGAAAGGGAAGCGAUUGGGGGGAGUCUGUAGUACGUUAAUCAGUGCAUCAUAUUUAUGAUGUAUGCACUUGAUGUUCAUGCUAGUCAGGAUCAAUUUCGAGGGUCUGAGAAAGAUUCGAGUAAUGUAGCAAAGCAAGCAAUUGGUUUGUGUUAUAGACUCGGAUGUAAUGAGAUCAGUUGAGAUUGAGGAUUGCAGGUUAUAGUAAUAUAGUCUGAGGAUGCUGACAUAAUCCCCCUAAACGACC
rnacentral:rRNA from 1 species